rnacentral:lncRNA from 1 species
AGAUGCUCUGCAAGGGCAGUGUGUGCUCUUAACCACAGAGUCACUUUCUGUAGUCUGGGAACUUAGCUUAAAAGCAUAUAUUACACAUGCUAGGGCACUAUUUAAAUUCUCAGAAUUUAUUUCAGGUGUAUUUAAAGGUGUAUUUAAACUGUGUCAAGUGGAAAUUGUUGCUUUGGUUUAAGAAAUAAAGAAAACGGAAAAGAAGGGCUGGUGAGAGGGCCUAUGUAAAGGGUUCCCUCCCGGUGCCUUAGUUCCCAGGACCCAGUUGGUGGAAGGAGAUACCCAACUUCUGUAGCUUAUCCUCUGACUGACAUAAAUAAGUAGGGCCAUAGAGAGAUGGCUUAGUCAUUGAGAGCACUCACAGCUCGCCCUUCUAGAUGACUAGAGGGGUUCCCACACUUAUGUGGGUCUCUCUCUUUUUUGUGGUGGCGGUUUUUAAGACAGUUUCUCUGUAUAGCCUUGGCUGUCCUAGAACUCUAGUUAUGAAGCAGGCUGGCGUCAGCUUCCGAGAGCCUCUGCAUCACAGAGAGUGUGACGCCUCCGAGCAUCAGGAUUAAGGCAUGCGCAGACACUGCUGCCACCUCCGCCAUCACCACCCUGCAUUGUGCUCAUCCCUUAACAGACUGUGGCUCCAGCUCCUGGCGAGUCAGCGCCCUCUUCUGGCCUCCCUCAAUACACACAUGCACAUGGAUGGAUCUAUCAUGUAGCUUGGCCAAGGUAGCACAAGUCUUCAAUCCUAGCACUUGGGAGGUGGGAAGUAGAGGCAGGCAGAUCUCUGAGCUCAAAGCCAGCCUGGUCUAUAGAACAAAUUCCAGGAUAGCAAAGGUAAACAAACAAACAAACCUGGAGAGAUGGCGCAGCAGUUCAGAGCAUUGACUGCUCUUCCAGAGGUCCUGAGUUCAAUUCCCAGCAACCACAUGGUAGCUCACAACCAUCACUAAUGGGGAUCAGAUGCCUUCUUAAGGUGUAUCUGAAGACAGUGACAAUAUACCCACAUACAUGAAAUAAAUAAAUCUUUUUUAAAAAGAAAAGAAAAAAGAAGCCUUGUCUCAAG